rfam:Arabis alpina cultivar Pajares chromosome 6, whole genome shotgun sequence.
AAUCCAUGAUGUGGGCAAUUUUUUAAGUAUUCUUUAAAGCGUUCCCAAGCAUCAUGCAUGGAAACUUUCUCAAGUCUUUGUUGGAAUCCUUAUAUCUUCUUUCUUAAAAU